rnacentral:tRNA from 1 species
AAUAAAGUGCCUGAUAAAAAGGAUUAUUCUGAUAGGAUAAAUAAUGUAAUUAUUUUACCUUUAUUA